UUACUGGCGACGCGUAGCGGAGACAGUAAAACGGAGAUUUGCGACCGUCAAAUCAAAAUUGACGGUGGCAACUCUUCAACUACAGUACUGUUAUUCCGAUUCUAAUGCAUUACAAAAAGAAAAAAUACGAUAAAACUUGAAAAAGUGUCUAAAUUUGACAAAAAGAAAAAAAUCCGCGAAACUUCAUGAAUGAUUUUGGCACAAAGACGUCAUGGCUAAACGUGACGUCAUACAAAUGAAAACUUUCAAACUGGAGGUUAUUACGUUACCUGUACGCUUCAAAUUGGGAUAAAAUUACAUUAACCCUCUUGCUGCCGACCGUUUUUCAAGGUUGCAUUUCAUAUGCCGGAAAAUACGACAGAACAACGUCUGUGACGUAACAUGCCAAACAACGACGUCAUUCGAUAUAUGACGUCACGACAUAAUGACCAAUACAUUUGGGACCCACUGGAGAAAACAUAACUCUGUUUUAUCUUCGGUAUUUUAAUUGAAAG
rnacentral:lncRNA from 1 species